UUUACUGAUUAAAACGUUUGUAGCUGGAGCUUCCAGGCGGACAUGUUGGAGCCACAACACGACUGAACACGUCUGGUAAACGAAGCCGGUGAGAAUGCUGCAGCGUUCGGCCAAGAAGCAAAGUCCACUUUUCCCCACUGAUGUCAGAACAUUUACAACUAAAUCUGGACUUUAACUACAGAAAAUCAUUAAAAAUGGUGCAUUCACAAAGCCGGUCAGCUGGAGGUCUGUGACCUUGUUUAGCAUUUCCGCAGCAAAAACUUUAAUGCAACAGUUCAAAACUAAUAUGGAAUACUUAACCGGUUGGAAAACAUGAAAAAACAGAAAAUAAAACUUUCUACUCAGCAUCAGGAGAAACUAGUUUUUUAUUUUCUGCUCUCCCAGAGACUCCAGGCUCACAGCCAGAUGGACUUAAGGGACGAAAAGUUUAUUUUUCCUGACUUGUUGCCUUUAAAAAGUCAAGUUUGAACUUUAUACUCAUUCGCAGGCGAACGCUGCAGGAGACGAUGCACUGCUGCAUCCUGGCCGGGUCCAACCAGAACCAGAACAGGCAAACAGUCCUGCUGCGUUCAGAGCCAGCGCGGCGUCACGCAGAGGAGGCAGGAAGUCAGAUUACAGGACGGGGCGGCGAGCUGCGAUCCUGGACAACAUGUCAGCGCCCCGAGUCGCUGCUGAUGCUUCAUGAGCUGAGGAAGAUGUUCCCGCCGCUGUUUGGUCAACGUCAGAAGAAAAAUCUGCUUCAUUCCCUCCAGAUCAGAAAAACUCGUUUCAGUUCUGCAUGUAGAACCUGAUUACACCAUGUUACCGCAAAGAACUCUGGGAAAAUUACACCAUGUUACCGCAAAGAACUCUGGGAAAAUUACACCAUGUUACCGCAAAGAACUCUGGGAAAAUUACACCGUGAUACUGCAGACUGGCAAAGCAGUCUGGGAAACUUCUGGCUCUCUGUAGUUUAAAUUCCAGGUGAACUGGUGAAGCUAACCAGGCGCUGCUCUUGGCUUAUUUUGGGGAUUUUACACCAAUUUAACAGUAAAAUACAGAAGCCGUUGAGUAAUCUUACUAAUAUUUUCACACAUAAACAGUUUAUCCAGCAGAGCAACAUCACCAACCAGGUCAGUCAUUGUUUUUGGUAAAAAAAAAUUCCACAUGCUAAACAAAUUUCUGGCAGGUGAAACAACAUGAAACGAAUAAAAACAACACGUCUACGGCUGACUGUGAAAUUAAAUUAUGUUCAAAAUGGCUGAAUUCUUUGACUGGACAGAGGAUUUGCAUGGUGGUGCAGCUGGUCGCUGAGUUUCUGCAGAUAGGCGGCGUCCAGCGCCGUAACUGUGGUCUCUGAAGUGAGGAGGUUCAUUUUUCAGAAGUUUGGGUGAUUUAUCGCCUCCACUCUCUUUCAGAACUAAAAACACAGAAUCACUAACAGCUACAGUCCAGGAGGCUCUGCUAGCUAAGCUAACCCAAUGAAACCUAAAGUCCAGCUGCCAAACUGAGCUGGAGUGGAAACGAUUAAAACAUCAUUAAAUGUGAAACAGCAACAUGAAGCAUUCAGUAAAACAGCGUAUGCUAACCGUUACUGAGCACAAAGACCACAGAGAGGAGACACAAAAUUCAGUUUAAUAGCAUGAAAAGCUAACACUGCUGCCCUCUGCUAAGCUAACACUGCUGCCCUCUGCUAAGCUAACACUGCAGCCCUCUGCUAAGCUAACACUGCUGCCCUCUGCUAAGCUAACACUGCAGCCCUCUGCUAAGCUAACACUGCUGCCCUCUGCUAAGCUAACACUGCAGCCCUCUGCUAAGCUAACACUGCUGCCCUCUGCUAAGCUAACACUGCAGCCCUCUGCUAAGCUAACACUGCAGCCCUCUGCUAAGCUAACACCCUAACCCGUUGACCUCCAGAUUACCUUUGGUAUGAGUGAGUGUGUCAUGGUUGUUCUUCCUGUAGCUGUGCUUACGUUGACGAUACAGAUGUGUAAACUGGAAUAACUAAAAUAAAUUUACUUAAUGGAAAAAAGUCAAAUUGGAAAUAAACAUUAGGAUGAGAUGGUUUCUUCUGAGUGUAUCAAAAUUAGUGAGUGAACACUUUUUUGCGUCACACUAGUCAUGUGAUCAACAGGAUGUUGCUACUGCUGGAAAACAUGAAGAAGAGAGUGACAGGAAGUGGCUGGAGGAUGAUGGCGCCAUGUUUUUAAUUUAAUCACAAGAACAAAGUUAUUCACAUGUGAUUUUAGAAGCUGCUGGUGACAUGUAGCCUGCUGUUUCCAUGACGACCACAUGAGGUUCAGUCGUCAUGGCAACGGACAGAAAUCAUCAGUAACCUGUUAGCUUGUUAGCACUAACUGGAUUAUUUUAACUUUGUCAUGAUUUCUGCCACUGUUACGCUUCACAGGCAGCUGUUAGGAGAAACAUGGUUACCUCCAGC